rnacentral:rRNA from 1 species
CCCUUAGAUGUUCUGGGCCGCACGCGCGCUACACUGACGAAUGCAACGAGCUUAUAACCUUGGCCGAUAGGUCUGGGUAAUCUUUGAACGCUGUUCGUGAUUGGGAUAGACCUUUGCAAUUAUGGGUCUUCAACGAGGAAUUCCUAGUAAACGCAAGUCAUCAGCUUGCAUUGAUUACGUCCCUGCCCUUUGUACACACCGCCCGUCGCACCUACCGAUUGAAUGGUCCGGUGAAAUCUCGGGACGGCGGCUUGGUCGCUUGCGUCCGACUGCUGAAACUUGAUUAAACCAUNUNAUUUAGNGGAAGGUGAANUCGUANCA